UGGUUCUUUAUUUCUCAAGUACUCUCAGUUCCUACCCAUCUUGUGCUUUCGGACGUGGAUCAGUUUGAUACUAUCCUUGACAUGGAAAAAGAUGAGUUGGCUCCUGAGAUAGAAGAGGAAGAAGAAGGCGAGAUAGAGUAUGUUGAAGGUGAUGAUAUCGAGAUAGGUGACAUGGAUGAUAUGGAAGAUUUUGAAGGCUUUGGUGAUGAAGAUGGUGGAAGAAGACGAGGACAGGGGUAGCAGGCAAAGGAUGCGAAUGUGAUUCUCUAGGCACGGCUUCAGUAACAUGCUUGGUGUCGAU